rnacentral:rRNA from 1 species
AUAUGGCUCAGAACGAACGCUGGCGGCGCGUUUAAGCAUGCAAGUCGAACGGGAUUCGGGGGCAACUCCGGAUGAGAGUGGCGCACGGGUGAGUAAGACGUAGGUGAUCUGCCCUUGGGUUGGGGAUAGCUCAUGGAAACAUGAGAUAAUACCGAAUACGAUUCCUAUCGCGAGGUAGGGAGGAAAGCUCCUCAUGGGGGCGCCCGAGGAUGAGCCUGCGGUUCAUUAGCUAGUUGGUGGGGUAAAGGCCUACCAAGGCGACGAUGGAUAGCCGGCCUGAGAGGGUGUACGGCCACACUGGGACUGAGACACGGCCCAGACUCCUACGGGAGGCAGCAGCUAAGAAUCUUCUGCAAUGGACGCAAGUCUGACAGAGCGACGCCGCGUGAACGAUGAAAGGCCGCAAGGUUGUAAAGUUCUUUUCUUUGUGAGGAAUAAGGGGCAGAGGAAAUGCUGUCCUGAUGACGCAAGCGAAGGAAUAAGCCCCGGCUAAUUACGUGCCAGCAGCCGC